CGGGCAACGUGCCUGUUCACCAGGACUGCAUCCAGUUUUAGCACUUACUGGGGUAGACUGUGUUUCAUCUGGAAAUUUUGCUGCUGACGAAGGAGCUGUGGCUCAAGUUCGUCCCAUCCGGAGCUAUUACAAAAAAUAGGAGUCGAACACGGGAUUAAAGAAAAGGCUACUGGAUUAGAAAAUACUAAAGGAGAGACUCUUGGAAACAGGAUGUUGCAAGAAGGAAUGUACCGAGGGGAAUGAAAGGGUGGAGGGAGAACAGAAGAAAGAAAGAGACUAAUCUUCCAAGUAAAAAGGAUGAUGGGAAAGAAGCUAAAAUUUGGCCACUUAUCCGACCAUUCCUGAAAAACCAGAAAUUUCACAACUGCAUCUCCUAGCUCACUGUUUCUGCCCUUCCUGGUGACAAGAGGGAAGCGAAUGCUUUCGACAAGAUGGAAGAAAUCACUCCAUAUUCCCAAUAUUGUGUUUCUACCGAAUGUUCCCGAGCUGGCAUUGGCGGGGAGCAUUAAGCAGCUGUCACUGCUUGGUCUGGCAUUUUGUCAACCCACCUUGAUUAAGAACCUUGUCUUGAAAACCUUCAAAUCUUUCAUAUUUCCCCCA